UACGUAGGGUGCAAGCGUUGUCUGGAAUUAUUGGGCGUAAAGGGCUCGUAGGCGGUUUGUCGCGUCUGUCGUGAAAGCCCCGGGCUUAACUCCGGGUUGGCGGUGGAUACGGGCAGGCUAGAGUCCGGCAGGGGAGACUGGAAUUCCUGGUGUAGCGGUGAAAUGCGCAGAUAUCAGGAGGAACACCAGUGGCGAAGGCGGGUCUCUGGGCCGGUACGGACGCUGAGGAGCGAAAGCGUGGGGAACGAACAGG
rnacentral:misc_RNA from 1 species